CAAAUCUACUCCUUCCAUCGAGGAAUCACCAAGCAUCAUUCAAGGUUGAGCUGUGAUGAACGAUGAAGUGUUGCUGAGUGGAGCUUUUGUCGAACUUAGAAUAGGCUCAGAAAGGAUAUGUGUCUGCAUACAUGUAUCUCAGUCUUGCCUUCCGCUGCAAACACUGAUUAUGUUUUAGUCAAGUCUAUAAUUAUGUCAAUUACUCUUCAAGAAAUAUUUAACGCUUACUCGGGUUCAUCGAGUAUCCUUUUUAACUAUA